rnacentral:tRNA from 3 species
GCCGCCAUGGUGAAAUCGGUAGACACGC